rnacentral:sRNA from 1 species
AGAAUGCAAAGAAAUGGAUCAGCUAGCCGAGGGUUGGAGAAGACCAGGCUGAGGCUGUGUCGGGAAGCCAGGAUUCCAGAAUCAGCAUUCCUCACUGGCCUCACAAGGGAAAGCUGGGAAGCCCGGUGCUGGUGUGCAGUAGAAGGACACUCGUGAAGUCGUAGCCAUAAAGUGUGUAGCCAAGAAAAGUCUGAACAAGGCAUCGGUGGAGAACCUCCUCACGGAGAUUGAGAUCCUCAAGGGCAUUCGACAUCCCCACAUUGUGCAGCUGAAAGACUUUCAGGUGUGAGCCUGGGGCGGGGCCGCUGCCAAAGGGAGCUGGAGAAGGGACACUCUCUUCAGGCCGCCUCUCUACCUCUAAACACAGUGGGACAGUGACAAUAUCUACCUCAUCAUGGAGUUUUGCGCAGGGGGCGACCUGUCUCGCUUCAUCCAUACCCGCAGGAUUCUGCCUGAGAAGGUGGCACGUGUCUUCAUGCAGCAAUUAGCUAGCGCCCUGCAAUUCCUGCAUGAACGGAAUAUCUCUCACCUGGAUCUGAAGCCACAGAACAUUCUACUGAGCUCCUUGGAGAAGCCCCACCUAAAACUGGCAGACUUUGGUUUCGCACAACACAUGUCCCCGUGGGAUGAGAAGCACGUGCUCCGUGGCUCCCCCCUCUACAUGGCCCCCGAGAUGGUGUGCCAGCGGCAGUAUGACGCCCGCGUGGACCUCUGGUCCGUGGGGGUCAUCCUGUAUGGUGAGACCUCUUUUCCCUGCUUCUCACCCUGAGGCCUACACUGUUUCCUCAGGCAAGGCCUCUCUGGGCCACUUCUGAAGGGUUCUGAUGAAAACUGACUGCUGGCCCAGGGCCCCUGCUGAGGGGCGUCAGGCCAGGCUUGACCCAUUCCCUCCCAGCCUCCACUCUGCCUCCCUUCCAC